rnacentral:tRNA from 1 species
CAGAGUGUAGCUAAGCACAGAUAUAGCGUCUCCCUUACACUGAGAAGUCAUCCGUGCAAACCGGAUCGCUCUGA